ACUUUGAUCUCGAAUCAGGUGGGACUACCCGCUGACUUAACAUAUCAUAG
rnacentral:rRNA from 1 species